rnacentral:rRNA from 1 species
GAUGAACGCUGGCGGCGUGCUUAACACAUGCAAGUCGAACGGAAAGGCUCCUGCUUGCAGGGGUACUCGAGUGGCGAACGGGUGAGUAACACGUGGGUGAUCUGCCCUGCACUUCGGGAUAAGCCUGGGAAACUGGGUCUAAUACCGGAUAGGACGAUGGUUUGGAUGCCAUUGUGGAAAGUUUUUUCGGUGUGGGAUGAGCUCGCGGCCUAUCAGCUUGUUGGUGGGGUAAUGGCCUACCAAGGCGUCGACGGGUAGCCGGCCUGAGAGGGUGUACGGCCACAUUGGGACUGAGAUACGGCCCAGACUCCUACGGGAGGCAGCAGUGGGGAAUAUUGCACAAUAGGCGCAAGCCUGAUGCAGCGACGCCGCGUGGGGGAUGACGGCCUUCGGGUUGUAAACUCCUUUCGCUAGGGACGAAGCGCAAGUGACGGUACCUGGAGAAGAAGCACCGGCUAACUACGUG